rnacentral:sRNA from 1 species
AUCUACCACUGCUAAUCUAUACCACUGUCAAUCUAUCUACCACUGCCAAUCUAUCUAUUGCUGCU